rnacentral:rRNA from 1 species
GACGAACGCUGGCGGCGUGCCUAACACAUGCAAGUCGAGCGAAUGAAGUUCCUUCGGGAACGGAUUUAGCGGCGGACGGGUGAGUAACACGUGGGCAACCUGCCUCAUAGAGGGGAAUAGCCUUCCGAAAGGGAGAUUAAUACCGCAUAAGAUUGUAGUACCGCAUGGUACAGCAAUUAAAGGAGCAAUCCGCUAUGAGAUGGGCCCGCGGCGCAUUAGCUAGUUGGUGAGGUAACGGCUCACCAAGGCGACGAUGCGUAGCCGACCUGAGAGGGUGAUCGGCCACAUUGGGACUGAGACACGGCCCAAACUCCUACGGGAGGCUGCAGUGGGGAAUCUUCCGCAAUGGACGAAAGUCUGACGGAGCAACGCCGCGUGAGUGAUGACGGCCUUCGGGUUGUAAAGCUCUGUCUUCAGGGACGAUAAUGACGGUACCUGAGGAGGAAGCCACGGCUAACUACGUGCCAGCAGCCGCGGUAAUACGUAGGUGGCAAGCGUUAUCCGGAUUUAUUGGGCGUAAAGCGAGCGCAGGCGGUUUUUUAAGUCUGAUGUGAAAGCCCUCGGCUUAACCGAGGAAGUGCAUCGGAAACUGGGAAACUUGAGUGCAGAAGAGGGAUCGUGGAACUCCAUGUGUAGCGGUGAAAUGCGUAGAUAUAUGGAAGAACACCAGUGGCGAAGGCGGCUGUCUGGUCUGUAACUGACGCUGAGGCGCGAAAGCCAGGGGAGCGAACGGGAUUAGAUACCCCGGUAGUCCUGGCCGUAAACGAUGAAUGCUAGGUGUUGGAGGGUUUCCGCCCUUCAGUGCCGCAGCUAACGCAUUAAGCAUUCCGCCUGGGGAGUACGACCGCAAGGUUGAAACUCAAAGGAAUUGACGGGGGCCCGCACAAGCGGUGGAGCAUGUGGUUUAAUUCGAAGCUACGCGAAGAACCUUACCAGGUCUUGACAUCUUGCGCUAACCUUAGAGAUAAGGCGUUCCCUUCGGGGACGCAAUGACAGGUGGUGCAUGGUCGUCGUCAGCUCGUGUUGUGAGAUGUUGGGUUAAGUCCCGCAACGAGCGCAACCCUUGUUACUAGUUGCCAGCAUUAAGUUGGGCACUCUAGUGAGACUGCCGGUGACAAACCGGAGGAAGGUGGGGACGACGUCAGAUCAUCAUGCCCCUUAUGACCUGGGCUACACACGUGCUACAAUGGACGGUACAAAGAGACGCAAGACCGCGAGGUGGAGCAAAACUCAAAAACUUGUCUCAGUUCGGAUUGUAGGCUGAAACUCGCCUACAUGAAGCUGGAGUUGCUAGUAAUCGCGAAUCAGCAUGUCGCGGUGAAUACGUUCCCGGGCCUUGUACACACCGCCCGUCACACCAUGAGAGUUGGCAAUACCCAACGUACGUGAUCUAACCCGCAAGGGAGGAAGCGUCCUAAGGUAGGGUCAGCGAUUGGGGUG